GAUAUAAUCUUAAUUAUAUUUUAUAAAAUAAAUUAAAAAAAAAUAUAAUUGUAAAAUCUUCUUAACAAGAACAAAUAAAAAAUAUUUGUAUUCCUAUUAUUUCAUCUAAUGAAAUAAUAAUUUACAAACUUGAUAAAAUAAAAAUAAUAAAAAAAUAAAAUAUAUCUUUAUGAAUAUUAGAGAUAAUUUUUAUAUAUUUUAUUUUUUUUUUAUUUAUCAAAACAACAAAAGGAAAAAAAAAAAAAGGAAAAUACAAAUAUAUAAAUAUAUAUAUAUAUAUACAUAUUUGUCAAUUGGACAAAAUUGUUUGCUCCUUAGACAAUAUGAACUUUUUUUUUUCUUUUUUUUUGCUUCUUCUCAUUUCUACUAUCAUGAUUGAAGAAUAAAACAAUCUUUGGUAAUCUGAUUUUUAAUGA